UAGGGAAUAUUGCGCAAUGGGCGAAAGCCUGACGCAGCGACGUCGCGUGGAGGAUGAAGGGUCUCGGCUCGUAAACUCCUGUCAGAUGGGGAGAUUGGUAUACUUACUAAUACUAGGUGUACUUGACUGUACCAUCAGAGGAAGCACCGGCUAACUACGUGCCAGCAGCCGCGGUAAUACGUAGGGUGCAAGCGUUGCUCGGAAUCAUUGGGCGUAAAGAGUAGGUAGGUGGAAUUGUAAGUCAGGCGUGAAAGCCUGGGGCUCAACCCCAGAAGUGCGCUUGAUACUGCAAUUCUAGAUUUCGGAAGAGGGGAACAGAAUUCCUAGUGUAGGGGUAAAAUCCGUAGAUAUUAGGAGGAAUACCAGAGGCGAAGGCGGUUCCCUAGGCCGACAAUGACACUGAGCUACGAAAGCGUGGGUAGCAAACAGG
rnacentral:rRNA from 1 species